AUUGAACGCUGGCGGCAGGCCUAACACAUGCAAGUCGAGCGGAUGAAGGGAGCUUGCUCCUGGAUUCAGCGGCGGACGGGUGAGUAAUGCCUAGGAAUCUGCCUGGUAGUGGGGGAUAACGUCCGGAAACGGGCGCUAAUACCACAUACGUCCUGAGGCAGAAAGUGGGGGAUCUUCGGACCUCACGCUAUCAGAUGAGCCUAGGUCGGAUUAGCUAGUUGGUGGGGUAAAGGCCUACCAAGGCGACGAUCCGUAACUGGUCUGAGAGGAUGAUCAGUCACACUGGAAGUGAGACACGGUCCAGACUCCUACGGGAGGCAGCAGUGGGGAAUAUUGGACAAUGGGCGAAAGCCUGAUCCAGCCAUGCCGCGUGUGUGAAGAAGGUCUUCGGAUUGUAAAGCACUUUAAGUUGGGAGGAAGGGCAGUAAGUUAAUACCUUGCUGUUUUGACGUUACCAACAGAAUAAGCACCGGCUAACUUCGUG
rnacentral:rRNA from 1 species